GUCGCAGGGUAAGUCCCGGGCGAGGCCUGGCGCGGAGCCUACGCGGCCACCGCGACGACCUCGCCAUUCACCCCGGGCCAGGCGGGCAUCCUGGGCCGCGCAGCUACUUUACGUCAGCCGCCUCUAAAAUCACACGGCUCUGGCCAGUUCUUUUCAGCAGCUUUAUGAGAUUUUCUCAAAUCUCAACAAUCCGGUAUAUUUUCAAAAGUACAUACUGAGCAUCAAGGUGGUGCAGCGAACCUCCCAGAUCUGCAGCUCCAGCGGUCUUGCCUGAGCGUCCACUCAGGAUGAAGGUGAACUCGCAAAGUAACCGAGGAAGAAGAGGAUUCUGGAAUGUUCAACACACAUCCCUGCACCUGGCUCCCCACUAACUGUAGCAUGUUAUACCUGCAAUAGAGCACGGAUGUCCCCCGGAAGCAUGGCUGGAAGGGAUGCAGAGGAUAUGACUACACCAACACCAGCAGAGGCCACCCACGAGCCACUGCCAGGAACUCAAAAGCAGCGUGCAGCAGGACAGCAAAGGACACUGGGGAUAACACUUACUGUCGACUCUUCAUGCUGGACUUGUCUUUCGGGUUCUUUGUAGCCCAGGGGAGCAUCAAAGUCCACCUGUGUUUCCAGGAUUUUAAAAGUAAAAUAUUGAGACAUGGUCA